rnacentral:lncRNA from 1 species
UUUUUUGAUAAUGUGAUAUUUUGAAAAAAUAAUUUUAAAAGUGUAUCCAAAAAUAUUAAACCAUUUAAAAGAACAUUAAAUCAAGGCUGGAAUAGGCAGCAGACAAUGGCAUGUAGCAGUCCAAUGCAAGAGAUAGCAAUAUGCGUAAUAGUAGAGCAGUUUAAAAACAUACACAGGUUAGUAAAUCAAGCCUUAUUUAGGUUUUAUUUUAGCAUAAUGAAGCCUCUGAGUCAUGAAACUUGGCCUUGCCAAAACCAUUAGUGGUUUUAAACUUUAUUUUCAAUAAAUGUAGUUAUUUUUUUAACCUUUAAGAUUUAAGAUUUUAUUCAGAAGAUCCUGACGUCAUAUUCUUUUGUGGGGAACAUGCCACCUAAGAUGUAUGGAUUGAGCAAAACCCAUUUUUGUGAGUAUAUCUUCUUUUAUCGCCUAUAUUUAUUUUACAACAGAGAGCAUAUAUUUAUAUAUAUAUAUAUAUAUAUCAUGACCGGUUUGGCACUGGGUCAGUAAUGGUGUGGGGUGGCAUUUCUUUGGGGGGCCGCACAGCCCUCCAUGUGCUCGCCAGAGGUAGCCUGACUGCCAUUAGGUACCGAGAUGAGAUCCUCAGACCCCUUGUGAGACCAUAUGCUGGUGCGGUUGGCCUUGGGUUCCUCCUAAUGCAAGACAAUGCUAGACCUCAUGUGGCUAGAGUGUCAGCAUUCCUGCAAGAUGAAGGCAUUAAUGCUAUGGACUGGCCCUGCCCGUUUCCCAGACCUGAAUCCAAUUGAGCACAUCUGGGACAUCAUGUCUCGCUCCACCCACCAACGUCACGUUGCACCACAGACUGUCCAGGAGUUGGCAGAUACUUCAGUCCAGGUCUGGGAGGAGAUCCCUCAGGAGACCAUCCGCCACCUCAUCAGGUGUUGUAGGGAGGUCAUACAGGCACGUGGAGGCCACACAUACUACUGAGCCUCAUUUUGACUUGUUUUAAGGACAUUACAUCAAAGUUGGAUCAGCCUGUAGUGUGUUUUUCCACUUUAAUUUUGAGUGUGACUCAAAAUCCACACCUCCAUGUGUUGAAAAAUUUGAUUUCCAUUUUUUUAUUUUUGUGUGAUUUUGUUGUCAACAUAUUCAACUAUGUAAAGAACAAAGUAUUUCAGAAGAAUAUUUAAUUCAUACAGAUCUAGGAUGUGUUAUUUUUGUGUUCCCUUUGUUUUUUUGAGCAGUGUAUAUAUAUAUAUAUAUAUAUAUAUAUUUUUUUUAUAUAUAGUGAAUAUCCUGGUGACCCUUUGCUGCGUUACUUCUGUGCACUUGCAAGUAUAAAUCCUGAAUACCUUGAGCUAUCAACUGUAAAGACUCCCGCAUGCAAGAUCAAGAUAUUCCACAAGAUUAAGAUAUAGGCAGUGAUUAUACCGCCCGAAAGCAUAUAUUUGAAGCUUUUAUUUAUCUCACCAACCCUCUGAAAAUACUACACCCUAUUUAAUUUUUUUGUCCUCUCAUUUGCAUAUUAAUUUUUCCUAUUUGUAUUUUAGGGAUCCUUUUAGGACGCUGCUUCCCUCUUUCUAUGCAUCUCAAAAUUGCCUAAAUUUUAACAAUUGCAUCUUAUACAAAUAAAAUAUAGGUGAUGUUAGCCAAUUUAUCUUUCACGGCAUUGAGAAGUGACUAUAUCCAGUCGUGGAAUACAGAAAGUGUGCCAACAAAGAAUUAUGUGUUAAAGGACCACUCUAGGCACCCAGACCACUUCAGCUUAAUGAGGUGGUCUGGGUGCCAGGUCCUUCUAGGGUUAACCCAUUUUUUCAUAAACAUAGCAGUUUCAGAGAAACUGCUAUGUUUAUGAAUGGGUUAAGCCUUCCCCCUGUUUCCUCUAGUGGCUGUCUCAUUGACAGCCACUAGAGGCGCUUGCGUGCUUCUCACUGUGAUUUUUACAGUGAGAGCACGCAAGCGUCCAUAGGAAAGCAUUGUAAAUGCUUUCCUAUGCGACGGGCUGAAUGCGCGCGCAGCUCUUGCCGCGCGUGCGCAUUCAGCCCAGGAGGAGGAACGGAGGAGGAGAGAAGGAGGAGAGCUCUCCGCCCAGCACUGGAAAAAGGUAAGUUUUUAACCCUUUCCCCCUUCCAGAGCAGGGCGGGAGGGGGUCCCUGAGGGUGGGGGCACCCUCAGGGCACUAUAGUGCCAGGAAAACGAGUAUGUUUUCCUGGCACUAUAGUGGUCCUUUAACUACAUCAUUAAACAUUGUUUAUGGAAUAUUUUGUAUUUCCCUUGUUUUUUACUUGAUUGUGUUAUUGAGUAUUUUUGUUUUGUUUUUCUCUUAUUUUACUUGAAUAUAUUUCCUUAAUUAGGGAAUUUUUUGUUUUAACUAUUUUAUGUGUACAUUGUAUUGGGGAGGUUAAUGACUGUGAAUGCUUGUUUUCCGUGAACCAUGCAUAUUGAAAAGGAUAGCUUUUCUCUUGUUUAUAAAGAUAUUUUUUCAAUAUUUUAUAUGGGUCAUUUGCUGCUCUAAACCUUAUUAUAUUUUUUAUAUGAAACGUUUCUCAAUUAAGCGUGACUGACUUUUUUGACAUUUGGCUAUACUUUUUUUUAAUGGUUUGAUUUUGGCUAAUAAUUAAAAUGUUUUCUUGGCCAUUUUUAAGCUCUUGAUAUCUCUUUUCCAUUGCUUGGUUACAACCUCUAAUUGUAACUCUUAUAUUAGCUUUUUCACCCUUUAGAGUGAUUUUUAUUUUGAAUUGCUUAGGUGAUAUACUCCACUGUACAGAAACAAAUCCCAGCCUAAGCCCUAGAGUAAUGAAACAGAUAGUGCAACAGAUGCUAAUGCUGGUCAUUGGUUAUAAGGAUGUAAUGUAUGCGCCUGCAUCACAAACCCACCUUCAUAAACUUAAUACGUUAUGUAAUUUGUUCUGUCACUUUGUACUAGAAUCUUAUUACUUGAUGUUAAAAGAGCUAAAAUGGCUAUCACUGGAAUUCUGACACACUCUUCAUUUUUCCAGCCUUGUGCAUUAGAGCUUUUCUGGGAAAAGUAGAAUGCUCUCCCCAGCUAUUUCCACCUCCUAUAACCUCCGAUCCAGUACUGGCACGAUAUUUAGCAUACUGUAAUACAAACAAAAAGUGGCUCGAUCCUCAUUUUCCUACAGAGCAUCGCAAUUAUGGAAUAACCUCACGAACCCAGUCAUAUCUUUAUUAAAUCUAAAAUCUUUUAAGCGAUCUCUGACAAUAUACCUCAAUACAGAAUGCACCUGUCAUGGUUGAAUAUAUGUAUUACCUAUUGUGUGUUAAAUUUAUAUAUGUGUGUAUGCAUAUAUAUAUAUUGUUUUAUAUAUAUUGUAUUUUUUUAUUUUAUUUUUUUAAAUAUUGUACCCUAUUGUAACAAUGCAAUGUUUUG